AGAAAUAAACCAGCUUCAGAAGCAAAGGUCACAGAUGAUCAUACUCAAGAUCUUCCUGGGGAGUCAACGGCAAAUUUCACUGGGCUACUUUACAGAUGAAGAAGGAAUAUAAAGAAGGUUCUGGGACCCUGAAGUCCACGGAACACCCACCAUUACCUGAUCUUUGGAGCUUGUCAUUUGGCCAGUGGACCCUAAUAAACAUGUCCACGGGGAUGUGGGGAUGGAAUGCCGGAGCCUGGCUCGCUAGGGCAUCCAGGUUCUUCCUCUUUGCCCUGCUGUCUCCAGGCACCAAGAAUCUCCUGCAGUUCCCCAAAGAUGAACCCCCCAGUAUCUCAGGUCACUCUGUUUCCCUUGAUCUUUACCAAAUUCCUGACUCAGAGUUCCUCCCAUUUGCUUCUGACUCUCAUUUUAUUCUUAUGAUGUUUACCAUUUCUGUUCUCCUCAGUGUCCCUCUCUGAGUGCUAAGAGUAUGUUAAUAAGCCAGUGCUCAGACCACAGCACAAGGCAACUGCUCAGUGUCGGUCAUUAUCACUGUUAUUAAAUGUAACUUAAG
rnacentral:sRNA from 1 species